AUCCAUUUGACGAGACUCAAAUAGGACGAAACACGCGUCCUGGAU
rnacentral:hammerhead_ribozyme from 1 species